rnacentral:rRNA from 1 species
UGUUCGCCAUUUAAAGUGGUACGCGAGCUGGGUUUAGAACGUCGUGAGACAGUUCGGUCCCUAUCUGCCGUGGGCGUUUGAAACUUGAGGGAAGCUGCUCCUAGUACGAGAGGACCGGAGUGGACGAUCCUCUGGUGUUCCGGUUGUCACGCCAGUGGCAUUGCCGGGUAGCUAUGAUCGGACGGGAUAACCGCUGAAAGCAUCUAAGCGGGAAGCCUCUCCCAAGAUUAGGUUUCACCAGACUCUUGAAGUCUCUGUAGGGCCGUUGAAGACUACAACGUUGAUAGGCUGGAUGUGGAAGCACAGUAAUGUGUGAAGCUAACCAGUACUAAUUGCCCGUGUGUCUUGACCAU